UGAUGAGUCCUCAAGCUUCGGCUGUGC
rnacentral:piRNA from 1 species